AAUUUAGUAAAUAAUAUGAUAUAUGCUACUAUGUAUAAAAUUUCUUAAAAUAAUUGGGCUAUAUUAUUUAAACAAAACAAUGUUUUUACUUCUAAAUCUUGUAAAUACUAAAAUGAUAUAUGUUGAAGUAUAUUUUUUAAACACAACAUGUAAAUAAAAAUUAUCUUAAACAUAUAUAUUUUCUAUAAUAUAAAUAAAUAAAAUUUAAAAAUAUAUUAUAUAAAAAAUGUAUAAAUUAAAGAAAAACAUAUUUUGAAUGAGGUUGUCUAUUUUAUUAUUUCAGAUUGUUAGUUUAUUGUACUUAGCUCGAAAAUAUAUUCGUAAGUAAUGAAAAUUAAUAACAAAGUAAAAUGUAUUAAACAAAUCACUAUAUAUUAAUAAUAUCGAAUAUGAAAUAUAAACAAUAGUAUCAUAGAGUUACACAAUAUAUAACACUAAAAUAAAAAUUAUAUAUUUUAAAAAAUAAUAAUAAUAUCAAAUACAUUUAUAAAAAGAAUGAAAAUAUAUUUGCACGGAAGUGUCACACAAAAACAAUAUUCUUUAAUAAGUAACCAAAGCGAAAAAAGAAGAAGAAAAAAGCUCUCGUCUUCCUCGUUGGCGUUACGGUGGCCGGUGGUUCUACCACUGGCCGGUCACCCUUCAGUUUGCUCUCUGUAGUUCUACUGGAGCACCGGCGAGACUAUUACCCAUGAUGUGAAGCCAGGGAAUUCGGGAUUGGAAGUGUUUCGUGUGGUUUUAACCGGAUCUGGGUCAGAUCUGGCGGACCUGUGAUAAGGUUGCAGUUGAGGCUUCCUCGGUGGUGAAGGGGUUCUCCUCCCUUGUCAGAUUUUGAUUCCGUUUGCCCACGAGCUCUCCACUUUUCGACCUGCGGAGACAUCCGUUUUAAGUGGUCUAGAAUAUCUGUUUUCCAUUGUUGUGUAAAAGUUUGUCUAUGCUUUGUUCUGCUCUCAAAGAGAAUCGCUGGCCCUCUUUUGGUUGUUUGGUCUCUAUACCUGUAAUUUUUUCGAGUUCUUGAUGUGGUAGUGAAUGCUUCCUGUCUCCUGCUGCCGGUUUCUAUAUGUUUUCGGUGAGUUCGGGUGGGAUGAUUGACUUCGUUUUAUCUCUAGAUCUGUUGAGAUUAGAGUGUUGGUUGUAUGGCUUUUAUUGAGGCGUUGCUUGGACGCAUGAAGUGUGUCGCCGUAUCCGAAAGAGGAGAACUUUGAGUGGUUCUCUCUUGUUGGGUUAUAAAGUCUGGUUCUUUAGGUGGAAGAGAUGUGUUCUCUGUGUUCGUAGAACUUGAUGUUAUCGUUCGGUGGGCCGUGGGCGACAACGAUAAAUCUCGUUCAGAAACGUCAAGUGGUGUCGGAAGGUUGCAAGUGCAGUGUGCUAACUUUAUGGUGGGUUUUCGAUUUAUCCUUGUUGUAGCUAUAGUUAAGUCUGUAUUUGGUAUUCUCCUAAGUUGCCCGAUGUGGGUUCUAGUUACCUUUCUUGUGGGCUUGUGUUUCUGGGGAUUUCUAGUUCUUCCGCGAGCUUUUGUAUUCUUCCUUUGAAUGAAAUUUAACAACUUGACGGAAAAAAAUUUGCACGGAAGUGCAGGUA